GACGUAGGGCGCGAGCGUUGUCCGGAUUUAUUGGGCGUAAAGAGCUCGUAGGCGGCUUGUCGCGUCGACUGUGAAAUCCCGCGGCUCAACUGCGGGUCUGCAGUCGAUACGGGCAGGCUAGAGUUCGGUAGGGGAGACUGGAAUUCCUGGUGUAGCGGUGAAAUGCGCAGAUAUCAGGAGGAACACCAGUGGCGAAGGCGAUGCUCUGGGCCGGUACUGACGCUGAGGAGCGAAAGCUAGGGGAGCAAACGGG
rnacentral:rRNA from 1 species